GACGAACGCUGGCGGCGUGCCUAAUACAUGCAAGUCGAACGAACCGCGACUAGGUGCUUGCACUUGGUCAAGGUGAGUGGCGAACGGGUGAGUAACACGUGGGUAACCUACCUCAUAGUGGGGGAUAACAGUCGGAAACGACUGCUAAUACCGCAUAGGACAUAGGAUCACAUGAUCCAGUGAGGAAAGGUGGCGCAAGCUAUCGCUAAGAGAUGUACCCGCGGUGCAUUAGCUAGUUGGUAGGGUAAAGGCCUACCAAGGCGAUGAUGCAUAGCCGACCUGAGAGGGUGAUCGGCCACAUUGGGACUGAGACACGGCCCAAACUCCUACGGGAGGCAGCAGUAGGGAAUCUUCCGCAAUGGACGCAAGUCUGACGGAGCAACGCCGCGUGAGUGAAGAAGGUCUUCGGAUCGUAAAGCUCUGUUGUUAGAGAAGAACAGCGCAUAGAGUAACUGUUAUGCGUGUGACGGUAUCUAACCAGAAAGCCACGGCUAACUACGUG
rnacentral:rRNA from 1 species